rnacentral:misc_RNA from 1 species
GGGAUAUGGUUGAGAGUGAGAAAUUCUGGAUUCGAAGCAUCGACCUGGAAAUUACUAAUCCUGACAUAAAAGACUCUCAAAUCAAACCAAGGCGAUGAAAAUUUGGUGCAGGUUUGGAAUGGAGAAAGUCUAAUGAUCUGAAGAUUGGAAUUUGCAGCUUCACCAAUGCAGGAUGUUUCGUUAGCACCCUCCAUGACAAGCCACGGAGCUUAAUCCUCACA